GUGGGGAAUAUUGGACAAUGGGCGAAAGCCUGAUCCAGCCAUGCCGCGUGUGUGAAGAAGGUCUUCGGAUUGUAAAGCACUUUAAGUUGGGAGGAAGGGCAGUAAGUUAAUACCUUGCUGUUUUGACGUUACCGACAGAAUAAGCACCGGCUAACUUCGUGCCAGCAGCCGCGGUAAUACGAAGGGUGCAAGCGUUAAUCGGAAUUACUGGGCGUAAAGCGCGCGUAGGUGGUUUUGUAAGUUGGAGGUGAAAUCCCCGGGCUCAACCUGGGAACUGCCUCCAAAACUGCAUGACUAGAGUACGGUAGAGGGUAGUGGAAUUUCCUGUGUAGCGGUGAAAUGCGUAGAUAUAGGAAGGAACACCAGUGGCGAAGGCGACUACCUGGACUGAUACUGACACUGAGGUGCGAAAGCGUGGGGAGCAAACAGGAUUAGAAACCCCAGUAGUCA
rnacentral:rRNA from 1 species